ACUGUAAAUAAAUGAAGAACAGAUACGCAAGACUAAUUAUUUGAGGGAGCCGAGGAAACGAGUAAGAUAUCGAAAACGUAAAGCGCACCACAAUCAGAAAAGCAUUAGAUGAUUUAUUCAAGUUUCACACGCUUGAACUGAAGUGCAGUGAUCUCUGUGGAUGAAGCUGUAGCCGGGACUGGACAGGAAGCGCUUGGCGUUCAUUGUAAAGCCCGUAUUCCCCCUGAGAAAAUUGCACACCUGUCACGCAGUUGUCAUUGCCCCGCCGCCGAUUAAAUAGUUCUAAUGAACUUUUACGCAACCUUUAACAUAUUUUUUGCGGCGCAUUGACAAUUAAACCGGAAAAACUAAACACGAUGCAAUAGAAGAGUUUCAAAUAUGCUGCAAGCAUGACGUUGAUGACAACAGCUCGGCUCUCAGUCGCUGCAACAAGCUGCAAGAGUUAAUGACAGCCCCAACAGAGACAAAACAAAAAAAAUAAAAGAAAAAACGAGUUACGAUCGCCGUCUUUUUGCUCUGUCUAGAGCUGGCUUCAGUAUUCUGGCAGGCAGCAAAACUUGGCCUGUCUUAAAGUUGACUGGUUUUGCACUUAAAUGGAGCCCGAUAUCUAGCGCUAUGUGUGCGAGGGAAGUGAGGAAAAUGGCCGAGAAGCAAGUCCACAGCUGUGCGGCCUUAUAUAACAAACGUGCUGUGUUGGGGUAGUUGGUCAUUUACGGCAUACGAUGAUGUGUUUCGUGGAACGAAAGUGAAGUUUAUCUAUGAGAUACGUGUAAUUUUGUUAGAUACCAACAGGGACGAGACGCAGAUGAUCUUACUCUCUCGUACUGGCUGGCAUUCCCAAACGAUUUGCAGGCUCCGGCAUCGAGUGCUUCGCUUCAAAUGAA